CCACUCCGAACAGAGGGGAAUAGUGGGAAUCCCUUUAACCCGAGAGCAGCGUUUCCCAAACUCCUCGUUGUGUCGGACCCCCAAUUCAUAGUGACAUAAAUAAGGGACUUGAACAAAGAAAAGGAAAAACAUACAGACGAACAAUGCACCGCCAUGCAGGAAAUGAGAAGAGAUGACGUGACCAGCACUCGCCAAGCUCCGGGCUUUCUUCGAUCGUCGUGGACACCCACGAACACUCACGGGGACCCUCGGGGGUCCGCGGAUCACACUUUGGGAACCACUGC